rnacentral:lncRNA from 1 species
ACCCAUAGGAGAUGCAUUUCCUCCUAAGUUGGUUUUAGUUUCACCCAUAGGAGAUGCAUUUCCUCCUAAGUUUGUUUUUACCCAUAGGAGAUGCAUUUCCUCCUAAAAUUGUUUUUACCCAUAGGAGACGCAUUUCCUCCUAAGUUUGUUUUAGUUUCACCCAUAGGAGAUGCAUUUCCUUCUAAGUUGGUUUUAGUUUCACCCAUAGGAGAUGCAUUUCCUCCUAAGUUUAUUUUACCCAUAGGAGAUGCAUUUCCUCCUAAGUUGUUGUUAAAAAAAAAAAGACCUAGUCUGAUGAACCUUCUCCUAGGAUCAAAAUCUUAGUCUGACAAAUUUUUCUCCUAAGAUAGAGACCUAGUCUGACGAACCUUCUCCUAGGAUCAAAAUCUUAGUCCGAUGAAUUUUUCUCCUAAGAUAGAGACCUAGUCUGACGAACCUUCUCCUAGGAUCCAAAUCUUAGUCUGAUGAAUCUUUCUCCUAAGAUGCUAAAAAAAACGUUUGAAAAAAAAAAGUCAUUUUCCUAAACCCAGGCGCCCACCUGUAUAACGAGAGGAAUACAUUUCAGUAUUUUUCAUUUCAAGUGCUGAAGCCAGGCGCCCACCUGUAUAACGAGAGGAAUACAUUUCAGUCUUUGCAUUUCAUGUUCCAGGCGCCCACCUGUAUAACGAGAGGAAUACAUUUCAGUCUUUACAUUUCAAGCAUUGAAGUUAGGCGCCCACCUGUAUAACAAGGGAAUACAUUUUAGGUUAUAUUUUAUUUUAGGAGACUCACUUCCUAAAU